GACGAACGCUGGCGGCGUGCUUAACACAUGCAAGUCGAACGGAAAGGCCCUGCUUUUGUUGGGUGCUCGAGUGGCGAACGGGUGAGUAACACGUGUGUAACCUGCCCUUGGCUUUGGGAUAACUUCAGGAAACUGGGGCUAAUACCGGAUAGGAUCUCCUGCUGCAUGGUGGGGGUUGGAAAGUUUCGGCGGUUGGGGAUGGACUCGCGGCUUAUCCGCUUGUUUGUGGGGUAGUGGCUUACCAAGGCUUUGACGGGUAGCCGGCCUGAGAGGGGUACCGGACACAUUGGGACUGGGAUACGGCCCAGAAGCGAACGGGAGGCAGCGGGGGGGAAUAUUGCACAGUGGGCGGAAGGCAGAUGCGACAACGCCGCGUGCGGGAAGCGGGGAUUGGGGUUGUAAACAGAUUUGGAAUGAGACGAGGCGUGAGUGACGGUAAUGGGUAAAGAAGCACCGGCUAACUACGUG
rnacentral:rRNA from 1 species